rnacentral:lncRNA from 1 species
UACAUCACAACAGCAUUCAUGCAGAAUUACAAGCACUCUUUCAUGGGUUUGAAUUGCCAACCCUUCAUCAUUUGGUUCCACUGGAAGUAAGCGUUGAUCGUUAGACGUAUUAACACUUACAAAAAAUAAUAACAUGCAUUACAGUAAUAUUAUCUAUCACUGUAUGGACCUCCAGAUUUUGUUAUCAACAGCUUACAACUGGAUCGAGCAGGAGCCAUACGC